AGUGAACGCUGGCGGUAGGCCUAACACAUGCAAGUCGAACGGCAGCACAGUAAGAGCUUGCUCUUACGGGUGGCGAGUGGCGGACGGGUGAGGAAUACAUCGGAAUCUACUUUUUCGUGGGGGAUAACGUAGGGAAACUUACGCUAAUACCGCAUACUACCUACGGGUGAAAGCAGGGGAUCUUCGGAUCUUGCGCGAUUGAAUGAGCCGAUGUCGGAUUAGCUAGGUGGCGGGGCAAAGGCCCACCAAGGCGAAGAUCGGUAGCUGGUCUGAGAGGAUGAUCAGCCACACUGGAACGGGGACACGGCCCAGACUCCUGCGGGAGGCAGCAGUGGGGAAUAUUGGACAAUGGGCGCAAGCCUGAUCCAGCCAUACCGCGUGGGUGAAGAAGGCCUUCGGGUUGGAAAGCCCUUUUGUUGGGAAAGAAAAGCAGCAGGUUAAUACCCCGCUGUUCUGACGGUACCCAAAGAAUAAGCACCGGCUAACUUCGUG
rnacentral:rRNA from 1 species